AACGCACAUUGCGCCCCUCGGUAUUCCGGGGGGCAUGCCUGUUCGAGCGUCAUUACACCCCUCAAGCGUAGCUUGGUAUUGGACAUGCGCGGGCCCUUUUACAAGGGUUCGCGGGUCCGAAAAACAGUGGCGGUCCCCGAGGAUUUCGCGCGUAGUAAAUAUUAUCCCGCGUUGGAAAGAAUCGGUGGGCUUGCCAAAACCCCCCAUAAUCUCUAUGAUUGACCUCGGAUCAGGUAGGGAUACCCGCUGAACUUAA
rnacentral:misc_RNA from 1 species